rfam:Alligator mississippiensis ScZkoYb_115, whole genome shotgun sequence.
GCUCCAGUGGCCUAACGGUUGAGGCACUAAUCUCCUAAAUUAGGGAUUGUGGGUUCAAAUCCCACGUAGGGUG